rnacentral:rRNA from 1 species
AUACGUAGGGGGCGAGCGUUGUCCGGAAUGAUUGGGCGUAAAGGGCGCGUAGGCGGCGCGGUAAGUCUGGAGUGAAAGUCCUGCUUUCAAGGUGGGAAUUGCUUUGGAUACUGCCGCGCUUGAGUGCAGGAGAGGUUAUCGGAAUUCCCGGUGUAGCGGUGAAAUGCGUAGAGAUCGGGAGGAACACCAGUGGCGAAGGCGGGUAACUGGACUGCAACUGACGCUGAGGCCCGAAAGUGUGGGGAGCAAACAGGAUUAGAUACCCUGGUAGUCCACACUGUAAACGAUGAAUGCUAGGUGUAAGAGGUAUCGACCCCUUUUGUGCCGGAGUCAACACAAUAAGCAUUCCGCCUGGGGAGUACGGCCGCAAGGUUGAAACUCAAAUGAAUUGGCGGG